CUGGGCUACACGCGGGCAACAAUGGCCGGGACAAUGGGUUCCUACCUCGAAAGAGGAUGGUAAUCUCAGAAACCCGGUCGUAGUUCGGAUUGAGGGCUGAAACUCCCCCUCAUGAAGCUGGAUUCGGUAGUAAUCGCGUCUCAGAAGGGCGCGGUGAAUACGUCCCUGCUCCUUGCACAACGUCCUUCCUCAGGCAACAAC
rnacentral:rRNA from 1 species